CAACCAGUGUGGACUGAAUGUUUUUCCAUAACUAUUAUUGUUUUACAAACUGUCCUUUGAAUAAUAGUCAUUAAUAUUCAAUUCCACAAAACUGUUGUCCUUUGUCAAUUGUUAAUUAACUCCACAAGUCUAGCUUCUUGACAUAUGUUGCAUUUUUGGGGGCAGCCCCACAUGUUAUUCUUGCCCUUGGGAUUGAGAGAAAAGCGGAAAACAGCAUCUCAAAGUAUUUCCUGUUCAACUCCCAUAAACAAUCAGCAUGGCUUUUAAGCAUUGUGUGCUCAUGUUGGUAGGAGCCAGGCAGGCGGUACUGGUUGCCACGACUACAUGGUUUCCAAAGACACCACUGACCCAAUUCCUCAGCUGGGGGUGGAUUUACAACCAUGUAAAAGCACAAUCUUGUGAUGCUUUUAAGACACAUACAAACACUUGCAGAUGGCAACAGUUUCAGAUAUGGAUAUGACAUCCACAUUUAUUUUUAAAUAGAGUGCAUGGACUUUUUUUAAAGUUAAAAACAGUGCUUGUUUUUUUCUGUUUUCUGCUGGCUGACUCCAGGAAAUAUGGUGGAAGGACCCCUUGUUGACUUCCCCUCCCUCUAAGGUUUGGCUGCCAGACAGAGCUCAUCCUGCUGACUCAAGGUGUCCAUGGUACAGUGAAAAUGGUGACAGGAAGCGAGAGAGAAGACAGAGACGGGGAAGGGCCUGCAUCGAACCUGGGUCAACCGUGUAGCAGUCGAGUGCCCUACUAUCAGGCCAAGGUAGGGCCCAUGCGAAUACUUUUAAAUGCAGAUUUUUUAAAUCUGUUUAAACAUGACAUGAAGGUAUGAAUAAAAACUCCACUGUGACAGGUGCCUUGUAGCUCCCCAAAUUUAUAUGUAAACAAGAGGCCAAAACAAUGUUUUCACAAAUAUCCAUAUACAGCCCAGCCGUGGCUUAGUCGACUGGGCACUGGAUUGCUAUGCGGGCGACCCUGGUCAUUUCCUGGUCCUCCCCCGUGUCUCUCUCCCACUCAUUUCCUGUCCCACUCUUCACCGUCCUGACUAAAACGACACACCCCCCCCCCCAAUAUCUGCAUACUUGUAAACAGGUCACUGAAUACACUUACUGUGUGCGUCAAUAUUGUGAAUAACAGACAUCUUUAGAUCCCAACCAAUGGGUUUCUUUAGAGAGGAAUGUGUUUCGACAGGCUGAAAUUCAUCAUAACCGUACAGUACUGUAUGUGUGGUCAAAGUAUGAUAUGGAGAACACCAAUACUUACAUCAAUAGCAUACUUUAGUGCACACAGUUGUUUACAAGGCAAAUAUCUAACAUGGUUUAAGGGAGAAAGAAACCAUGAAUAUUUCCUUAAUUGGAAGGUUGCGCUAUGUUUGUCAAAAGGUUAUGUCAAGGUUGGUGUUAAGGUCUGUUCAAUAAAUCAACCAGCUACUGUCUCCUAAAUAAUGAAUUGAAUGUUGUAUUGCACUUUGUUGCACCAGCAUCUUACUUAUUCUUGGCAAGGGGACAUGAUAUCUGCACUUGGAAGACUCGGAAGUCACUUAUCAGAUGUUUGCAAAUGACACAAGUGUGCUUAAGGACUCACAGGGAAAUGAACUAAAAUUUUUCUCUCUUUGAAAAGUAAACAGACAUGAAAAUACCAGUAAAUCAUAAGCCUCAAUUCAUAAUGACUCGUGGUAAAACUGAUGAUCCCCAAGUCACAAAUCUUCUGUUCCUUCAACACUGCAUUAUCUAAUGGUGUCUCUUUAUCCCCGUCUUCCUUCCACCUCCUUGCUUUUUGCUUCUUGGUUUGACGUGCCUUCUUUCCACAGAGAAGUCUGAGCAGAGCAGUGUGCCUGGACGUGUUCACAUGUUUAAAAAACAAAUUUAUCUGCUCCUGGGCUGUGCUGUCGAGGCAAGGCAAGGCGCGGCGAGGCGUCUGGCUGCUGCAGCUUGGUGGGGGCUUCCCUUUCGCUUGCUCCUUUGGAAGCAUGUCCAGUUUUGCCAUUUGUGGACAGCGAUGACAAGACACAAAAGCACGCGGGCCAUAAAUAGCUGUGACCAGCGAGGAGGAUUGCUGUUCGCUGCCGUGCCGGCAGAUCAAAUUCUCCAAAGCCAGAGAAGCAGCAGUAGUGGAAGAGGCAGCAGUGGAGAGAGCAGGGAAGAGCAGAGACUACAGCAAGCAAGCUCACUCUGUCCCCCCGGCCCCAUGCCUGCCUGUCUGCCUGCCUUUUCUAUAAUACAUGCAGCCUUAAGCCACUUCCUCUGCUUCACCCACUCUGGCCACACAAAUGAUAAAGUCCAGUGAUUAGUACUAGAAGUAAAACGUGGCAUAAUUAUCUUUCUGUAGUUUCAGUUAAAUGGCAUUUUCGUCCCCAAACGUUAACUUCUAACAGGGAGCUAGUGAGUAGCAGAUCUUCCAGCACAGGAAAGGCAGCAGGGGAGAAACUGUAGUGCAGUGGUAGACUGGCUUCUGAACAGCCAGAUUUGCUGUUUUUAACUGUUCCCAAGAUAGUAAAAUGUAACACAUAAAAACGUUUGGAGUUAGUGAGAACAAGAUGAAGACGACCGCUCUGUAAACAAGUUGCCAUUUUCCUUCACUGUCAAACACGCUGUUGGACAUGUUCACCUUUAACCCUGGCGAGUGUUAGCUGCCACUCCCCCAACAAGUUAUGUGACAAGAGGUCUUCACAAUCUUUUACUUCAGAAUUUAAAAAGACCAAAAUAUCUUAAAUUAAACAUGCAUGGUGUCUGUAAUGCUCUACGUGGAAACAAAGGGAAAUUCAAUUUACUUUCAACAGGCACUUGGCCCUUCAGUGUGAAGAAUUAGGAGGUUAACCCGAUUUCAUGAUACUGCUUUUUAAGAGCAGGCUGCUGUUUGAAGGGGAGGAAACUUUUAGCGAAAGGUAGAGGAAACCAUGCAAACAAGCCAACAGAGACUUAUCUUAGUGUUGUCUGCCACAAUAUUUUUUUUUAUUGCGAAGUGGCGAAACUUCCUUGAUCUCAAAAACAAUAUUCCACUUAAGGCUGCAAAUGCAGAUACUGCCAUCUUUACAGAUAGUUGUGUAUGUGUUCUCUUUUCAGUGUUUAUAAAAACUG